UUUUUCCCUCAUUCAGGAGAGCGAGGCAAAAGAGAUGAAGAUGAAGAAGGAAAUGGAAAAACUCCAGGAAGAAAACCACCAAUUACAAGAGGACUUGAAAUCCUUAAAUGUCAGAGUUGAAGAGCAAGGUCAAGAGACUGAGACUCUGCAGAAGAAACUUGAAUAAAGUUGUGGAGAUCUGCAGGCUGAGCUCUCAAAAAAGGUGAUUAAGAAAGUCAUCGGCUACACUUUGAUUAUUUUGUCUUUAAUUAUCUUAUCAAAUACUUAGUUUUUCCCUCUAGAUGUCCAACCUGAAGAUAAAAUUAGUGAGUAAAACUA